UUAAAUGUCACGCUUUGUUCUAUGUAUUAUCUUGCGAUAUUUACUUUAAUUUAAAAUAAUAUAUGUUAUUUAAUCUUCAAAUUAUUUAAGAAAAUUUGAAAUUUUUAGAUGCACGAGGAUGUUAAAAAAUAUAAUUACGCCGCGAGAAAAUAGUUCCGUUAUCUUUUAUCGUUCUUCCACCCCGAUUGCUUAUUAAAACGAUAAAUUAUUUAAAAUUGUUUAAAUAUUCUCAAAUUUAAACGACUUUUUCGUUAUUUUUUAUUAUUUAUGUCUGAAAAAUUGCUUCUGUCAAUAUUCAUUCGGCGGAAGAACUCGGACCAUUAAUUAUUAUUAUCAGUCAAGAUGGCGGAAUGACUGCGUUCUCUGAGGCCACAGAAAAUCCUCUUACAGGCUUCAAAUGACCUGUGGAUUGCAGUUUCCCCAUCAUUAUUGUACCCGGAAUUAAAGGCUUUUAGAGACAUUAACUUCAAAGGUGAAUUAUAUAGGAUUCUUAGGAAAGUCUAUACAUCCUCUAUAACUUUUAAACUACCUGUUAUAGUGCCAUGGAAAUAAUUGGUACCUAAAGGAAAGUGAAAAGGUGCAGCCCAUUGAAUGUGAUUUUAGAUCCCCUUAGUGGCAAAAUACACAACUGAAGAAAAUUAACUGGAAACCAAUAGAGAUAGGGAAAAAAUUAAACUGCAAAAUGAAAGAGUCUACCACUGGCUGAGUGGAUAAAAUCACUGAACACUGGGAGUUCGGUCGUGGGUUCGUGCCUUGCUCAGAUGGGCCUGGCCACGUGGAGUUUUCUGGGUUUUCUUUACGUCUGUAACACCUAAAUAGGGUCCAGUUUCCCUUAAAAAGACCUCCCGAAAGGCAUCCCCAUAGGAAGAUCGCCCAAAUGUUGCGUUGCCAUAACUUAACAAACAAUAACACCUAAAUAGGGACCAGCUUCCAAUGAAAGAUUUUCCAGGAGGCAUUUCCAUUGGAAGAUCGCUCAUGUGCCACAUUGCUGUAUACCAAUAAAGUCAUAAAACCAGCAAAAUGAAAGAGUAUUGUUUAAUUACACAAAUUCUUCAAUACUUGAUUCAGAAGAAACACUUACAGGAAAGAGCAGAAAAGACUGAGAAAGUGUCAACAGAAAAAUGAUUUCUGGUGGAUAGCCUAUGGCAACAACAGAAAAGCAGUUGCUCAAGAUACCAUAGCAAUAUAGUGAUUUUGAUGUAAAACCAAAUCAGACACCCAAAGGGAGAUGCGUGAAAUAAUUCUGUAUAUGGGAGUAUUUGUAUAAAGCAGAAUUAUAAAACAUUAUUAAUUAUAAUUUAUAAGAGUCCAUUGUCCAAAUAACAUAAUGUUUGUGUGAUGUAUUUUCAUGUAAGCAUUUUCUCAAAAGAUGUAAUAUUUUGUAACACUUUAACAGUGACUGAAUAGAAGAAAAGGAGAGAAAAAAUAAAAUUAAUGAAGAUGUAUAAAUGUACAGUGUUGACUUCAGACAUUUUUCUUCUGGGAAAAUAUAUUUUUUAUAAAAGAUUGGUUUGGGGGUCCCAGGCAAAUUCCCGUUUUGCUGAUAGAAAAAGGCACCACUAUUUCUAGGAUAAUUACGGCAAAUACCGCAGCCACACUUGAAAAACAAACAUGGGAACAUGGGAA